rnacentral:rRNA from 1 species
ACCUGGCGGCGAGUGGCGAACGGGUGAGUAAUAUAUCGGAACGUGCCCUGGAGUGGGGGAUAACGCAGCGAAAGUUGCGCUAAUGCCGCAUACGAUCUAAGGAUGAAAGUGGGGGAUUCGCAAGAACCUCAUGCUCCUGGAGCGGCCGAUAUCUGAUUAGCUAGUUGGUGGGGUAAAGGCCUACCAAGGCAUCGAUCAGUAGCUGGUCUGAGAGGACGACCAGCCACACUGGAACUGAGACACGGUCCAGACUCCUACGGGAGGCAGCAGUGGGGAAUUUUGGACAAUGGGCGAAAGCCUGAUCCAGCAAUGCCGCGUGAGUGAAGAAGGCCUUCGGGUUGUAAAGCUCUUUUGUCAGGGAAGAAACGGUGAAGGCUAAUAUCCUUUGCUAAUGACGGUACCUGAAGAAUAAGCACCGGCUAACUACGUGCCAGCAGCCGCGGUAAUACGUAGGGUGCAAGCGUUAAUCGGAAUUACUGGGCGUAAAGCGUGCGCAGGCGGUUUUGUAAGUUUGUCGUGAAAGCCCCGGGCUCAACCUGGGAAUUGCGAUGAAGACUGCAAGGCUUGAAUCUGGCAGAGGGGGGUAGAAUUCCACGUGUAGCAGUGAAAUGCGUAGAGAUGUGGAGGAACACCGAUGGCGAAGGCAGCCCCCUGGGUCAAGAUUGACGCUCAUGCACGAAAGCGUGGGGAGCAAACAGGAUUAGAUACCCUGGUAGUCCACGCCCUAAACGAUGUCUACUAGUUGUCGGGUUUUAAUUAACUUGGUAACGCAGCUAACGCGUGAAGUAGACCGCCUGGGGAGUACGGUCGCAAGAUUAAAACUCAAAGGAAUUGACGGGGACCCGCACAAGCGGUGGAUGAUGUGGAUUAAUUCGAUGCAACGCGAAAAACCUUACCUACCCUUGACAUGUACGGAAGCCACGAGAGAUCGAGGUGUGCUCGAAAGAGAGCCGUAACACAGGUGG